rnacentral:lncRNA from 1 species
AGAUGGCUCCUUCUUGUUCGACCCGCCGGAGCUGGACGAUGGGGUAGAAGGCUCGGGCGUGGUGGACCCUGAUCCGGACCCCGAUGGAGUAGUGGGAGUUGGGGUGCUGGGGGACCCACCGCUGCUGGCCGCAUCGACUUUAAUUGACACCUUCAUGCCGCUGCUGCAGUGGCCGGCGGCAGUGCAGAUGAAGUACUUAGUGCCGGCGGU